rnacentral:rRNA from 1 species
CUGGCGGCGUGCUUAACACAUGCAAGUCGAGCGGUAAGGCCUCCUUCGGGGGGUACACGAGCGGCGAACGGGUGAGUAACACGUGAGUAAUCUGCCCUCCACUCUGGGAUAAGCCUCGGAAACGGGGUCUAAUACCGGAUAUGACAUCUGCUCGCAUGGGCUGGGUGUGGAAAGUUUUUUCGGUGGGGGAUGUGCUCGCGGCCUAUCAGCUUGUUGGUGGGGUAAUGGCCUACCAAGGCUUUGACGGGUAGCCGGCCUGAGAGGGUGACCGGUCACACUGGGACUGAGACACGGCCCAGACUCCUACGGGAGGCAGCAGUGGGGAAUAUUGGACAAUGGGCGGAAGCCUGAUCCAGCAACGCCGCGUGAGGGAUGACGGCCUUCGGGUUGUAAACCUCUUUCAGUACCGACGAAGCGUGAGUGACGGUAGGUACAGAAGAAGCACCGGCCAACUACGUGCCAGCAGCCGCGGUAAUACGUAGGGUGCGAGCGUUGUCCGGAAUUAUUGGGCGUAAAGGGCUCGUAGGCGGUUUGUCGCGUCGGGAGUGAAAACAUCGGGCUUAACUCGGUGCUUGCUUUCGAUACGGGCAGACUAGAGGCAUGCAGGGGAGAAUGGAAUUCCUGGUGUAGCGGUGAAAUGCGCAGAUAUCAGGAGGAACACCGGUGGCGAAGGCGGUUCUCUGGGCAUGUCCUGACGCUGAGGAGCGAAAGUGUGGGGAGCGAACAGGAUUAGAUACCCUGGUAGUCCACACCGUAAACGUUGGGCGCUAGGUGUGGGAUCCUUUCCACGGGUUCCGUGCCGUAGCUNACGCAUUAAGCGCCCCGCCUGGGGAGUACGGCCGCAAGGCU